AACUUUUAGCAACGGAUCCCUUGGCUCUCGCAUCGAUGAAGAACGCAGCGAAAUGCGAAAAGUAAUGUGAAUUGCAGAAUCCAGUGAAUCAUCGAAUCUUUGAACGCACCUUGCGCCCUUUGGCUAUUCCGAAGGGCAUGCCUGUUUGAGUAUCAUGAACACCUCAACCCUCACGGUUUGCUAUGACGAGCUUGAACUUUGGGGGUCUUGCUGGCCUGCGGUCAGCUCCUCUCAAAUGAAUCAGCUCACCAGUGUUUGGUGGGAUCACAGGUGUGAUAACUAUCUACGCUUGCGGUUUUCCACCAGGUAACCUUCUGCGAUGGAGGUUCGCUGGAGCUCAUAAACGUCUCUCCUCAGCGAAGACAGCUCUGUGAACGUUUGAUCUCAAAUCAGGUAGGACUACCCGCUGAACUUAAGCAUAUCAAUAAGCGGAGGCU
rnacentral:misc_RNA from 1 species